CUCCAAGUGGAUCUGUGCGUGCCUGGCUGCUAAUCCUCCGGAAGACUGAGAGUCACCUAAAGACGGCUACCCAGCGGCUUCCCGGCAAGGAUUACAGAUGUGUAUCCCCGGAUAUUUUUUUCUGGGGAUGGCAAGUCACACAGACCAGGAGGCCGUGGCGAGUUGGGAGCUGUGCGGGUUUUGUCGAGCCGUUUAAAACGUGUGAGCGAGAUUCUUCGAGGCGGCGUCGUUUUGGGCCGCUUUCCUGGAAUCCAGGGGAGCUCAAGAGGCGACACCAGUUCGGGAGAUCCCGUCUCGUUAGUUGUAUCGGGGAAAAAGAGUGCAAAGUGGGUCAGGGUUUGUGAGGGCGGCUGUCUCGAUCCAGCUACAAUCCCUUUUGUCUGUCUGGCGCGUUGUAAACUCACGGAAGAUGGAACAGACGCCAAGUGGCGUACCCGGUGGGGAACUCCCGACGGAGCUCGGACCGGGACUGUGUCAGCAAGUGCCGGGAAAAAUCCGUACUCGCCGGGGGUACGAGCCGACCCAUGUUGUUCCGAUAUAUAUGUCGCAAGAGGCAUGAAGGGAACGGCUGCUUCGCGAUAUCGAACCAAAGGAUCAAAAAUAUAUGUAGAGUCUGUCGUAUCACUGCGCAGAUGAUAAUGCUAGGAGCCCGUCAACCGGUGUGGCGUCAUGUUUUUAUGAAAAAGGCUGCCACCAAGCGGCCCAGCACGCACUUUUGUCAAAAAGACGAAACAGGGACACAAGGGGGCUGACGUUCCACAUUCCACUUUGCGGCAUGUUGUGCCUUCUCUUCGUCUGCUAUGGGAACAGCAUGCGCCUUGGCACGCGUCAGCUGGGGAGGGUUCUCGAUGGGUUGGCGGUACAGAUCGAAAUCCUCGUCGCCCAGCGCUUUUGACCGAAUGCAAAGGACCGAGUCGUUGCCCACACUUCUCCACGCUUUGGCGAAGCCGGUAGACACUUUCUGGGCGCACGCUGCCUUGUAUUUGUGAGACCACGGAUCCACUUCCACAAUUCGGGUUCGUCCGGCGCCGCGUCCUAACUCACGCGCCACGCUUUCCGCUGAAAGAGGUCUUAUAGGUUUCACAUUGCAGGUUUGUGCAAAUUCGCCAUAUUUCUGCACGAGCUGUAGGGGGACCUUUCUCCGGGUAAAGUCGAUGCCCAGUUUCACAGGGCUGCUACGCAAGCAGUCAUGAAGCAGUUCGAGAGCGCAGCUGCUCGGCUUCGCGUUGGAGUGAAGGUUCAGGAAACGCAUCCCGAAGCGAUGCAUGACUGUUGCCCGCUGCCUUCGGGGCUCCUGUUCCUGAAUGUGUCUAUCCUGUGCGGGUCCUUUUGGGGGCAUUCCCUCAGCAGGUGUCUUCUCACCGGCCUCUGCUUUUUGCGAGUCGUGCACAGACUCGAAGAAGCUUUUCGGACCGAACAGCCCCCCCGACCUCCCUGCCGCCUCAAAUUUUAUAGGUUUGUUACUCGAUAUCCCAGCAAGACUCUUACGGUUCUCAGGUGAAAGGCCCUGUGUACUUCUUGUCCAUCUUGACAGGCGGUCUGCGUCGCCUUCCCAAGGGGUGUUCAGCUCUUCCAGUCUAUCGACGGGUAAGCCUAAUGCGAUUCGUCGAAAUUCUGCGGAACUUCUCGGAGCAGGAUACCUCCAUGGUGGUCGCGUGUCUUGCUUGCGUUCUUCCGCUUUCCUGUGUUUCGCCAAAGGAAGCUGUCCUUCGGGUGCUCGAAGCGAGGAAGGCGAUUGGACGCUUGAUUUGACUGUAUUGUCUUGCAAAGCUGACGAUCGGUUUGCAGAGAGGGUCCAUGCAGACUGGGGGCUUGAUGUUUUAGGAGUACGAUGAGUUUUUGAAAAACGCUUGUUGGAUUGAAUGUUUUCCAGAACUCUGUUCACUGGUCCAAGCGCUUUUCGCUCCCUUAGUCCCUUGAUAUACUCCGGGU
rnacentral:lncRNA from 1 species